ensembl:misc_RNA Metazoa_SRP Metazoan signal recognition particle RNA
GCCAGGUGUGGUGGUGCAUGCCUGUAAUCCCAGCUACUCGGGAGGCUGAGGCAGGAGAAUCACUCGAACCCGGGAGGUGAAGGUUGCAGUGAGCCGAGAUCUGUCACUGCAUUCCAGCCUGGGUGACGGAGUGAGAUUCUGUCUCAA